rnacentral:rRNA from 1 species
GCGGGGUCCUUACCACAUGCAAGUCGAGCGGAGAUUUUUUAGCGGAUAGCUUCGGCAGGAAGCUUGAUAGUUUUACCGCCGGACGGGUGAGCUCCGUGUGGGCAACCUGCCCUGUACUGUCGAUUAAUCACUGGAAACGGUGACUAAUACCGCGUGUCAUUGCGAGAGGGCUUCCUCUUGCGAGAAGAGGAUUUAUUCGGUACAGGAUGGGCCCGCAUCUGAUUAGCUAGUUGGUGAGAUAACAGCCCACCACGGCAACGAUCAAUAGCCGACCUGAGAGGGUGAUCGGCCACAUUGGGACUGAGACACGGCCCAAACUCCUACGGGAGGCAUGAGUGGGGAAUAUUGGACAAUGCGCCAAAGCCUGAUGCAACAACGCCGCGUGAAGGAUGACUGUUUUCGGCUCGUAAACUUCUAUCGUUAGGGACGAAGAAAAUGACGGUACCUAACUACCAACCCCCGGCUAACUACGUGCCGGCAGCCGCGUUAAUACGUAUGGCGCAAGCGUUAUCCGGAAUUACUGGGUGUAAAGGCAGAGUAGGCGGUUUGUUAUUUUACAAGUGAAAGCCCGGGGCUUAACCCCGGGUAAGCAUUUGAAACUAUCAAACUAGAGUGCAGGAGAGGUAAGUGGAAUUCCUAGUGUAGCGGUGAAAUGCGUAGAUAUUAGGAAGAACACCAGUGGCGAAGGCGACUUACUGGACUGUAACUGACGCUGAGCCUCAAAAGCGUGGGGAGCAACCAGGUUUAGAUACCCUGGUAUCCCACCCCGAAACCGAUGAGUGCUAGGUGUGGGGGGGGAACCCUCGGUGCCGCAGCUAACACAAUAAGCACUCCCCGGGGGGAGUACGGCCGCAAGGUUGAAACUAAAAAGAAUUGGGGGGGGCCCCCACAAGCGGGGGAGCAUGUGUUUUUUUUAGAAGCAACGAGAAGAACCUUAACAAGGCUUGACCUCCUUCCGACCGCUCUAGAGAUAGAGUUUUUUUUGGGAGCAGGGGUGACAGGUGGUGCAUGGUUGUCGUCAGCUCGUGUCGUGAGAUGUUGGGUUAAGUCCCCCAACGAGCGCAACCCCUAUCUUUAGUAGCCAUCAUUCAGGUGGGCCCUUUAGGGAGACUCCCGUGGAUUACACGGAGGAAGUUGGGGAUGACGUCAAAUUAUCAUCCCCCUUAUGUUUGGGGCUCCCCCGUUGUUCCAAUGGCUGGUAACAAAGGGAAGCGCAACGGUGACAUCAAGCAAAUCACAAAAAACCAGUCCCAGUUCGGAUUGUAGUCUGCAACUCGCCUACAUGAAGCUGGAGUCGCUAGU